rnacentral:rRNA from 1 species
UAGGGAAUCUUCCACAAUGGACGCAAGUCUGAUGGAGCAACGCCGCGUGAGUGAAGAAGGUUUUCGGAUCGUAAAGCUCUGUUGUUGGUGAAGAAGGAUAGAGGCAGUAACUGGUCUUUAUUUGACGGUAAUCAACCAGAAAGUCACGGCUAACUACGUGCCAGCAGCCGCGGUAAUACGUAGGUGGCAAGCGUUGUCCGGAUUUAUUGGGCGUAAAGCGAGCGCAGGCGGAAUGAUAAGUCUGAUGUGAAAGCCAACGGCUCAACCGUGGAACUGCAUCGGAAACUGUCAUUCUUGAGUGCAGAAGAGGAGAGUGGAAUUCCAUGUGUAGCGGUGGAAUGCGUAGAUAUAUGGAAGAACAUCAGUGGCGAAGGCGGCUCUCUGGUCUGCAACUGACGCUGAGGCUCGAAAGCAUGGGUAGCGAACAGG